rnacentral:rRNA from 1 species
GUGAGGAAUAUUGCGCAAUGGAGGCAACUCUGACGCAGCCAUGCCGCGUGCAGGAAGAAGGCGCUACGCGUUGUAAACUGCUUUUAACCGGGAAGAAACCCCAGGACGUGUCCUGGGUUGACGGUACCGGAGGAAUAAGCACCGGCUAACUUCGUGCCAGCAGCCGCGGUAAUACGAAGGGUGCAAGCGUUAUCCGGAUUCAUUGGGUUUCAAGGGUGCGUAGGCGGAGCGUUAAGUCAGUGGUGAAAUCCUGCAGCUUAACUGUAGACUUGCCAUUGAUACUGGCGCUCUUGAGUGCGCUUGAAGUGGGCGGAAUGUGCCGUGUAGCGGUGAAAUGCUUAGAUAUGGCACAGAACACCAAUUGCGAAGGCAGCUCACUAAGGCGAUACUGACGCUGAGGCACGAAAGCGUGGGGAUCGAACAGGAUUAGAAGCCCCGGUAGUCC